rnacentral:lncRNA from 1 species
ACUUACAGUGUGAGUCAUGUGACCAGACUUUCAAGGCCUUCAGGACACUAAAGGUGGGCAAAUGGGUAGAUUUCUCUGGCAAAAAGCUGGAAAUAGUACUAUGGCAUUUCAUAGUGUCUUACAACAGGUGAAUUUUCAUGCAGAUAAUUUUCCUUCACAUUAGUGCCAGUCAACCAAACAGUAUUGGCUUGGAAAAUCAUCAGUAUAAGCCCCAGUCACUCCAGAGUAGGAUUACUCUUGGGUAGCUCCAUAUGUUUCUCCUGUUUCUUUCUUCACUAACUAACCGGACAUCUAGUUUGUUUUAGAGUCAGAUAUUAGAUUCGUAAACUUUAGGGCUGACAUGCUGCUCAAUUGGCUUAACUGGGAGGAAUACUCCACUCUUAUAAUCUCCUAAAAAGUUAAUAUCUGCAAGAAAGAUAAUUUCGUUGGAAAUGCAGUUAGCCAUAUUUUAUUGAAUAGAACAGAUGUGUCCUUUGUUAGGACCUUAGGACUUGAGAAAAGAAUCUUACCCCUAAUUUGUAAAACAUUUAAGUGUGUCUGCCAUGUUUCAUUUUUUUUUAUAAUGUUUGUCAGGUAAAGAAUUUUAUAUAUUAUUCCUUGACAUUAAACUGGAACAUAAAACU